rnacentral:misc_RNA from 1 species
UCCGGCUUAUCACCGGCAGUCCCACUAGAGUGCCCAACUGAAUGAUGGCAACUAAUGGCGAGGGUUGCGCUCGUUGCGGGACUUAACCCAACAUCUCACGACACGAGCUGACGACAGCCAUGCAGCACCUGUGUCCCGACCUAUUGCUAGGAGGAAUCCAUCUCUGGAAACCGUCCGGGCAUGUCAAGGCCAGGUAAGGUUCUUCGCGUUGCAUCGAAUUGAGCCACAUACUCCACCGCUUGUGCAGGCCCCCGUCAAUUUCUUUGAGUUUUAAUCUUGCGACCGUACUUCCCAGGCGGCACAUUUAACGCGUUAGCUUCGCCACGAACGGGGUCGAAUCCGUUCACAGCAAAUGUGCACCGUUUACAGCUAGGACUAC